CUGGGUUUGAGCACUGGGUGCUUGUUGCCUUCCCAGCUUGGUGCCCUGGGUUGUCCCUGCAGCCUUGAAGCUCCCCUGGUGCUCUGUAUGGAAUAAUCAGGGCAAGUAGAAUUAUGCAAAAAAUAGGUGUUCAUUUUUUGUUAGCCCUAGCAGUAUUAUUAUUUUUAAUGAUCAGUUUAUUCCUGAUUAUUAGUGCUCUGUUCUCUUAGGCUGUGCCACUGUUUGUUUAAGGGACUACCUUGUGAUCCGUGAGGGAGGAGAAGUGCAUUGCACAGAACCUGACUUCAGUUUACACUGGUGGGAGUCAAAGAAAAGCGACCUUUUCUUUAGGCUUUUGGUGCAAUUGGCACGAAGAGUGAUAUUUGAAAACAUAGAAUGCUGCCUACAUGGUAUGAAAGGUGAUUCUGAGGUGUAUUUCCUUUGAAUUUGGCAGAAAGCAGCAUUUUUAUGCUGUCAGUUUGAGUGGGUCUCUUAAUGAACAGCUGUUCCUCACUGGCAGCAACCAGUUUCUUGUGGAUUAUUUCUGAAACAGCAAGAGACAGCAGCAGUCCUUUCUGUUACCCUUGACUAAAGGCUGCCUGUCAAAAUGUUUCUUUAGUCUCUCGUAGCGAGAAUUAGGAUAUUUUUCCCAGCUCAUGAGUAGCAGGUGAUUUCAAAGGAUUUCCCAGCCUGCUUUGGGUUUCCUCCUGAAAUUCUGAUUUGUGAAUUUUGUGAACAAAGAAAAGAAAUCUCUUUCAGGUCAGAUCAACAGAAACCUUUCUUUCAGGUGUUUAUCAGCUGAUAUCCCCACCUGGGCAAUGUUCCAGGAAGCAUCAGUGCUGUUCGGAAGGUCGAGGUGCCCAAUGCUGGUUAUCUGUUCUUUUUUCAUCCCUACCAAGCUCCUGAGUGUCUUCAGCAGCCAGAAUCAUUUUCAGUGCCUCCUCUUCAAGUUUCUCUGCUUCACUUUUCCUAUGUAUGCUCUACAUCUAAGGCAGUUUCUUUCUGCUAGUAGUUUCACAAUAUAGAUGAAAACUCCAGCAUAAUUAAAUAAACCAGUGCUGAAACCCCCCAAAGAACAAUUAUCUUUUCUGUGAAAUUGUCCCGGCAGAAAUCUUGGAAAACUUGCAUGUAAUUAGUACAUCGAGCCCCGCUGCAGAGCUAAGUGCAAUGCAUUAGGGCUUGUAGUGCUGACUUCUCUUGGACUCCAAUUGACCACUGAUAGCAAAUCUGUGGGCAACGUGCAGACUGACUGCUUUUAUGCAUUUACACAUGGUUAGUGUAAUGAUUUUUGAAGCUAUUUGAAGUUUACGCUACCCCGGUCUCCAUUAUGCUUGCUGAGCUGUUCUCCCCGUGUGCCCUCACCCUUUAAACAGCCUUCCUCUGGAUUCUGUGUCGGUGGGGGAAGGAAUGGUCUUGGAGCUGAGAGCGCCGGGCCAGAACUUGGCAGAACUGGAUUAACGGCACGGCUGGGCUGUAGGCUUCUGUGGAUGAAUCGCUUUGGCCCAGAUCUUAGGUGUCCAGGAACCCAAAGUGACAGACAGGGUUGUUCCAGGAUACGUGUACAUCCAGCCCGCGUUGAUUGGGAUUGCGUUAGGUGCCUAAAGGCAUCCCACAUUGCCUGACAAGAGAGGGGCCUGACCCAAGCUAUGAAGUCACUGGAAAGACAAAAGGAAAUUGGUGCCUUUAUAUUAGGUGCCUAUUGAACACGGAGCCAUCUUAUUUGUAAGCAAGGCUCGGGGAGAGCUCGAAGCCCUCUGUAAAGCCUGGCAGUGUUAAUGAUGGAGGAUGUUGGGCUGGCAGCUCUUGUACUUCCUAAAGGGAACGAUUUGCCAAGAGGGGUCACGGCCCUGGAAGCUGUUAGUUCUGUAACAGCAGGUUGAGUUGUCUUUUGUUCUUCCAAAUACUUCCAGUGCUUCCACGAUAGGGGAAAA